GAUGAAGAACGCAGUGAAAUGCGAUAAGUAAUGAGAAUUGCAGAAUUCAGUGAAUCAUCGAAUCUUUGAACGCACAUUGCGCCCCUUGGUAUUCCGAGGGGCAUGCCUGUUCGAGCGUCAUAUUAACCACUCCCGCUUGCGGGGUCUUGGGCUUCGCCUCCGGGCGGGCCUUAAAAUCAGUGGCGGUGCCGUCGGGCUCUACGCGUAGUAAAUUUUCUCGCGAUAGGGUCCCGGUGGAUGCUUGCCAACAACCCCCAACUUCUUAAGGUUGACCUCGGAUCAGGUAGGGAUACCCGCUGAACUUAAGCAUAUCAAUAAGCGGAGGA
rnacentral:misc_RNA from 1 species